CUAGGGUGCAUGUAUCUGCAUUUAAGCAUAGAGGCUUUUGCAUUACUAUCUUGUGAGUAUAUAUCACAUCAAUACAGAAAUGCCAAACUCUCAAAGUUGUGACUGUCUUUGAUCCAUCCAUAACUGGCCUCUAACUUAAAUACAGAUAACAUUUACAGAUUCUGUGCUGCCUGAGCCAAUGGCUGAGAUGACUCAUUAAACACUAUCCUUAGUGAGACCACGAGAUCUACAGAUUCAGUAUAAAUGACUCGUAGAAGAUCAAUCGUCCCACACUCAACUCGUCGUUUAAUGACGACAAAUGUUCCACUCCAUACAGUCUCCAUCACGCACCUCUGCUAGAACAAAUGGCAAUCCUAUCAAAGCUAUUGAUUCUCAUGGCCACAGUGAAUGCACACUUUUGAGGUCAGCCAAAAUCAAUGACCACAGGAGAGAACAGACAGUAUAAAAGACUUUAAUCAUAAAUAUUCCAGGUAGUGGUCCAAUGAAUUCCACAAGAAAGUACACUCAUUUGGAACAGUUAUUAUGUACAAUUUCAAUGUUUUGAUAACAGAGUAUAAUUAAGUUUACACAGGAUGUACUUACAGAAUACUUGUUUCAAAGAUCUCUGCAUCACAUAACAUCCCCCCAAGGCCUAACAUACAUUUUUUUUUAAUAUCGUACCACAUCAUACUGUAUUCUUUCUUAACAAGAGCCCUCACAUUCUGCUAGUCACAUUUCUAAAAGCACUCUAUGAACUGCAGAAGACCAGCUUUGUAGACAAAGGUUCAUUGUCAUUCUAACCUACAAACGGAACAAUCACUGCUUUAUUUUUUAUCUUGGCUUGGCUUCAAACUACAAAGAUGUAGAAUGAAAAUGUAAUGUAUGCAGUGUGUAUUGACAAUAAAAACUUACAAGGAGAAGACCGUGGUAAACACACAACAUGUGCUUGUAUUGCAUUGACUUGGGACUCAAUUAUAACAACAUUUUGUCUUUGAUUCAUAAACACAUCUGUUAUGGACAAGUCUAUUUGGACAGCAUUGUGUAGUUGACUUUUACUGUAUGGGCAGAGGGUUCCUUCUCAAUGGUGUGUGAAAUGUGGCCUUUAUUAAACAACGGGACAUGCCCAAAAUCCUUUAAACAUAAAGCAGUCGAGUGGUAAAAAAAGAUGCUGGUGCUUCAUUCGUUUUUGCUGUUGUCAUGGUGGAUUUAUUUUACAUGUCAAUGGUGGACCUCGUACAUUCAGAGAAAACCACUGAAAGCUCAGGGGUAUAAAAAUGGUCUACUUACACACUCCUCCUGUGUAGCUACGGUCAGAGAGGUAAAGAAUGCUGUCAGAAAAGUACACAGGACAACACACAUCCAUAGCACUGUUUCACUGUUUGUCUGCACUGCACUGGCAACUACUCUGUCUACAGUGUGUGUGUGUGUGUGUGUGUGUGUGUGUGUGUGUGUGAGAGAGAGAUAGAGAGAGAUAGAGAGAGAGAGACAGAGAGAGAGAAGAGUAGGGGAGAAAGAGAAAAGAGAUUUCUUUUUCCUUUAUCGUCACCUCUAGUCACACAUUUCUACAGAAAUCACAUGUGUUCUGCACAAUGCUGUGUGCCAAUAACCUUGUUCUUGCAUGAGUAGAGAGUCCCAGAGCAUUCAGCUUCAUUUUCACAAGAGACCACAACUGAAUUACUUUUAGAAGUAUUCAUCAUAGCUACUUCAUGUCCUCUGAGUUAUGAAAGGUAAUACAGAGGGAAGCACAGAAUCACACAUCUCCCAAAUCCUGUAUCAGCAAACCACCUCAAAUGAAAAAUAUCUUGAGAAUACUGCAGAGUUGAAAAAAGCUUAUUUAUGCGCUGUCAUGAAUUAAUUAUCAAAGCACAUAAGAAAUGAAACCAUAAGCCAUUCUGGUCAGGGGAAUAAAAAAACUGUAGCCCAAGGCCAUUCUGCUCUGAUAUAUUCCAAUCCACGUCAAAUCCAUCUCAGUGGAAAUGCAAGCAUCUAUGUAUUUUGAUGUUACACAUCACAUCUCAUAUGGAAUUCUGAAACGCUGUAUCCUGGAGCAAUGAAAGUUGGAUUUUUUUUUGUUUGUUUGUUUUCAUUAUUGCAGACCUGACAAAACCCUGUCUGGAUACCUUGGCCCAACAAAUAAAAGGAAAAUGUCACACCUCAGGUAAUUCCCUGAGAGGGAAAUGCUUGGCUAGUGUGCCAGGGUGCCCACAAUGCCCAUAGUCCCCAGCUUCCAUCCAGAGGCUCGAUGCCCUUUGCCAUGGGGAGAGUUUGUGGAGAUGGCACGUAGACACAGAGCCAUCCCUGCGUGGCACAGCGCUUCUCCACAGCCCACCACUGGGCACAGACCAUUGUGAUGCUAUCCUGGCCGGGAGCCCAGAGGCUAGGAUAGCGCACAUGGACCAUCGUUAGAGGACAGCCUUGUACGUACACAAGAGAAUGUCUGCAAAGAGAAGGGAUGAGAAGGAGGGGGUUGUUAGGUUAGGGUUGCAAGUACACAAGGGAAGAGCUGAUUCCAACUUCUGAAUGCUGGCCACUGUGAAUGAGUCAACCAUUUCAUUUGUAAAAUAAUGGCAUUUAAUGGUCUUUGGUAGUAACUGUUUCCUGUCAGUAAAAUAAUUUUUCAGCACCAUGGGCAGUCUUGCAUGGUACAGUC
ensembl:lncRNA